CUCUACUUUCUUUCUUUUUCUUCCCCCACCCGCACGCUCAUCUUCCUCUUCUUCCCCUUUUCUUCCUUCUUCCUCUCUUGGUUGAAGCUCUCUCAGUUUUCCCUUUCUCUCCACGCCCCAGCAGCACCCUCUUCCCCUCUUCUUCUCUUCUUCUUCCCUUCCUCUUCUUUCUUCUUUCUCUCCUUCAAUCGCCCAGCCAGCAGCCCCUCUCCCCUGUUUCACGCAGCCCUUCCUCUUCUUUUCCAUUUCUUUCUCUUCUCCCCCCCUCCCGUUGGCCAUGCUUGGAAUUGCAACACACGAACCCCCUCGUCUCUUCUCUUUCCUUCCUCUCUUCUCCCCGUCUUCUUUCUUCUUCGGUUUACACCUGGAACCCGUGAGGCUGAUGGAGCCGAGAGAGGUUUUCUGCAGCGAUUAGAGUCCGAAAAUGCAGAAAUUUCAAGGAUAGUGUCCGGAUUGGAGACUUCAAUUGAUUCUUCAAUGUGGAGUCCAAGUGACUAGAAUUUGAGGGGAUGUUCAAGUCAGGAGUCAAAUACAGCCAGAUAGUGUUCCUUUGGCUGCAGGUACUCGGGUCGUAGUUGAUGGGGUUGUAGACGUGCAGUUGGGAUAUUAUGACCGAAGCUCGCCGCGAUGGUCGUAAUUGCGGGACCAUAGGCGUCCUCAGUUUUAUAGGUUUUGUUGGGCUUGUGACGCAUGUGUCACUCGUUAUUGUAUAAAGCCAUUCUGUUAUGUAUUUAUAUUGAGGAAAGACUUAAACACAUAGAUAUUAAAUGGCUCUUGUUAUUAUUAGUUUAUGAUAUAUGUUUAAGAUUUGAUUUUCGCUA